GUCUAGCAGCCUUUUGAGCUGUGUCCCUGUGAGAUGCUGUGGGAGGGAGGGCUCAAAACAGUGUGUAAGGCCAGGAGCUCAGCUGUUAAUUUAAAGAAAAGCCUUUAGUUUCUGGAGCAAGAAAACUGUAAGAGCUAUAGUAACAUCUGGAGCUUUCUUGGUUCAAAGAAGGUUUUUCUGCAUUUCAGAAAGGAUUAUGUGCAUGCACAGAAAGCAGUUCCAGUGGUGUUACUGGAGCAAGGUCUCAUCCAAAGACUCUCAGAUUCCACACUUGGUGACUCAGAAAGUAGCACCCACGUCACAGGCUUUUACAGCAGUGAUAUCCACACCUGAGGGAGUUCCCUGCACCUUCCUUAUGGCAGAACAGACAAGAUUGGCAAUGUUUCACAUAAUCACUGAUUUCGCUGAAGCUUUGACAGCAUUAUCAAGGGCUUUUAAUAUUUUUGAUUUUAUAUGAAUCCCAUAAAACAUCCAAACACCAGGAUGUAAACAAAAGACUUCAAGAAGCUUAGUUUUGAUAUUUCUGUUACAUUCCAAAUUUGGAAUGAAAGGAGGUAUGAAAUAAUCACCUCUCCCAGGAAAAUGUGACAUCUCACACAGCUCUGACCAUUCUUGCAUUAGUCUCAAGGAUCUCUGCUGAUGGACAAGUCUCCCCCUGCACUCAGUGGUGCUGCAAAACGUCCAGCAAACCUGCCACAAAGGGAAUUCUCAUUCACAUCCUCCUGGAUGCUCAGAGUCAUCUUCCAGGGCAGCAGCACCAAUUGCCAAUACCAUCUUUUGGGAGAGUACCUUCUGAAGCACACUGAUGGAAAGGUAAAGGUCUGCUGUUACUGCUCAAAUAACAUGAACACAUCUCUGACAAGUGGGUAGGCCUUACCUUCAUCUUUUAGAAGAGAAAACAAAAAGCACAUGCAAACUGUUUUCUUUUGAAGAGAACAUGGAUGUUGAAGAAAUGAGAGAGUUCUUGUUAAAAGAGAGCUCUCUCAUAUUGCACUAGUACCUUAGGCUGCAAUGCAAGAUGUAACUGAAAGUAUGUAACUGAAAGUAUGUAUCUUCUGUUAAAGCCGAGUAGGGCAGUGCUCUUUGUCUUCCCCACCAUCCACCCUCCAGGGGGAUAGCUUCUGUUAAUGGGCCAUUGAGUGCCACUGCAUGGCUGACAAAAUCACAUCAUCCCAUUGUGAGAUGCUCUGCCCAGGGGGAAGAGGCAAGCAUUCCUAACUGGAUAUAACCCGAGAUUUAGAACACCACCUUCAGCCUUUCCCACAGGAUUCCCAGAGGAAGACUGAACCAUCUGCACCACCACUGGACCUUCAGAGAACUGUACCCUGGUUCUGCAGAAUCCCUGCUUCAGCAGAACUGCAUUUGUCACUCCAGGAGGACUGCAGCCACCAUUUAAUCAGACUGCUACCAACACCCUGACCAACAGGGUGUCAGGUUAUAUUCUGACUGUCAGUAGGUUUUUUUUUGGUUGGUUGGUUUUUUUGUACUACUGCAUUUUGAUUUUAAUUUUCCUAAUAAAGAACUGUUAUUCCUAUUCCCA
rnacentral:lncRNA from 1 species